UACGAAGGGGGGCUAGCGUUGCUCGGAAUCACUGGGCGUAAAGCGCACGUAGGCGGAUCUUUUAAGUCAGGGGGUGAAAUCCCAAGGCUCAACCUUGGAACUGCCUUUGAUACUGGGGGAUCUCGAGUCCGGAAGAGGUGAGUGGAACUGCGAGUGUAGAGGUGAAAUUCGUAGAUAUUCGCAAGAACACCAGUGGCGAAGGCGGCUCACUGGUCCGGUACUGACGCUGAGGUGCGAAAGCGUAGGGAGCAAACAGG
rnacentral:rRNA from 1 species